GACGAACGCUGGCGGCGUGCUUAACACAUGCAAGUCGAACGGCAAGGCCCUGCUUUUGUGGGGUGCUCGGGUGGCGAACGGGUGAGUAACACGUGAGUAACCUGCCCUUGACUUUGGGAUAACUUCAGGAAACUGGGGCUACUACCGGAUAGGAGAUCCUGCUGCAUGGUGGGGGUUGGAAAGUUUCGGCGGUUGGGGAUGGACUCGCGGCUUAUCAGCUUGUUGGUGGGGUAGUGGCUUACCAAGGCAUUGACGGGUAGCCGGCCUGGGAGGGUGACCGGCCACAUGGGGACUGAGGUACGGCCCAGACUCCUACGGGAGGCAGCAGUGGGGAAUAUUGCACAAUGGGCGGAAGCCUGAUGCAGCAACGCCGCGUGCGUGAUGACGGCCUUCGGGUUGUAAACCGCUUUAGCCUGUGACGAAGCGUGAGUGACGGUAAUGGGUAAAGAAGCACCGGCUAACUACGUG
rnacentral:rRNA from 1 species